rnacentral:rRNA from 1 species
UGGGGAAUAUUGCACAAUGGGCGCAAGCCUGAUGCAGCGACGCCCGCGUGAGGGAUGACGGCCUUCGGGUUGUAAACCUCUUUCAGCAGGGAAGAAGCGAAAGUGACGGUACCUGCAGAAGAAGCGCCGGCUAACUACGUGCCAGCAGCCGCGGUAAUACGUAGGGCGCGAGCGUUGUCCGGAAUUAUUGGGCGUAAAGAGCUUGUAGGCGGUUUGUUGCGUCUGCUGUGAAAGACCGGGGCUUAACCCCGGUAUUGCAGUGGGUACGGGCAGACUAGAGUGCAGUAGGGGAGACUGGAAUUCCUGGUGUAGCGGUGAAAUGCGCAGAUAUCAGGAGGAACACCGAUGGCGAAGGCAGGUCUCUGGGCUGUAACUGACGCUGAGAAGCGAAAGCAUGGGGAGCGAACAGGAUUAGAUACCCUGGUAGUCCAUGCCGUAAACGUUGGGCACUAGGUGUGGGGGACAUUCCACGUUUUCCGCGCCGUAGCUAACGCAUUUAAGUGCCCCGCCUGGGGAGUACGGCCGCAAAGGCUAA